AUUGAACGCUGGCGGCAGGCCUAACACAUGCAAGUCGAGCGAGCGGCGGACGGGUGCGUAAUGUCUGGGAAACUGCCUGAUGGCGGGGGACAACUACUGGAAAUGGUAGCUAAUACCGCAUACCAUCAGAUGUGCCAAGAUGGGAUUAGCUAGAAGGUGGGGUAAUGGCUCACCUAGGCGACGAUCCCUAGCUGGUCUGAGAGGAUGACCAGCCACACUGGAACUAAGACACGGUCCGGACUCCUACGGGAGGCAGCAGUGGGGAAUAUUGCACAAUGGGCGCAAGCCUGAUGCAGCCAUGCCGCGUGUGUGAAGAAGGCCUUCGGGUUGUAAAGCACUUUCAGCGGGGAGGCGUUACCCGCAGAAGAGGCACCGGCUAACUCCGUGCCAGCAGCCGCGGUAAUUC
rnacentral:rRNA from 1 species